rnacentral:rRNA from 1 species
CCCUUAGAUGUUCUGGGCCGCACGCGUGCUACACUGAGUGGAUCAGCGGGUCAGGUUGCGCGAAAGUGUUUCCUAAUCUUGAAAUCCGCUCGUGAUGGGGAUUGACGGUUGCAAUUUUCCGUCAUGAACGAGGAAUACCUUGUAAGCGCGGGUCAUCAUCCCGCGCUGAAUACGUCCCUGCCCUUUGUACACACCGCCCGUCGCUCCUACCGGUUGAGUGGUCCGGUGAGGCUUUGGGAUCUGAGCGGAAAGAGCGUUUCGCUGUUUCUGCUCGGAAAACUCAGUCGAACCUUAUCAUUUAGAGGAAGGAGAAGUCGUAACA